UUGCGAAGGCAGCUUUCUGGAUCAUUACUGACACUGAGAAACGAAAGCAUGGGUAGCGAAGAGGAUUAGAUACCCUCGUAGUCCAUGCCGUAAACGAUGUGUGUUAGACGUUGGAAAUUUAUUUUCAGUGUCGCAGGGAAACCGAUAAACACACCGCCUGGGGAGUACGACCGCAAGGUUAAAACUCAAAUGAAUUGACGGGGACCCGCACAAGUAGUGGAGCAUGUGGUUUAAUUCGAAGAUACGCGCAGAACCUUACCAACACUUGACAUGUUCGUCGCGACUCUAAGAGAUUAGAGUUUUCGGUUCGGCCGGACGAAACACAGGUGCUGCAUGGCUGUCGUCAGCUCGUGUCGUGAGAUGUUGGGUUAAGUCCCGCAACGAGCGCAACCCUCACUUUUAGUUGCCAUCAUUAAGUUGGGCACUCUGAAAGAACUGCCAGUGAUAAGCUGGAGGAAGGUGGGGAUGACGUCAAGUCCUCAUGGCCCUUACGUGUUGGGCUACACACGUGCUACAAUGGCAUCUACAACAGGAAGCAAAACGGCAACGUUAAGCAAAUCCCGAAAAGAUGCCUCAGUUCGGAUUGCACUCUGCAACUCGAGUGCAUGAAGCUGGAAUUACUAGUAAUCGUGGAUCAGCGUGCCACGGUGAAUGCGUUCCCGGGUCUUGUACACACCGCCCGUCACACCAUGGGAGUUGGUUCUACCUUAAGGCAAGGUUUCAAACCCUUGACCACGGUAUAGUCAGCGACUGGGGUGAAGUCGUAACAAGGUAACCGUA
rnacentral:rRNA from 1 species